rnacentral:rRNA from 1 species
CCUGAUCCAGCCAUGCCGCGUGAGUGAUGAAGGCCUUCGGGUUGUAAAACUCUUUCGGCGGGGACGAUGAUGACGGUACCCGCAGAAGAAGCCCCGGCUAACUUCGUGCCAGCAGCCGCGGUAAUACGAAGGGGGCUAGCGUUGCUCGGAAUGACUGGGCGUAAAGGGCGCGUAGGCGGAUGGCACAGUCAGAUGUGAAAUUCCCGGGCUUAACCUGGGGGCUGCAUUUGAUACGUGUUGUCUGGAGUGAGGAAGAGGGUCGUGGAAUUCCCAGUGUAGAGGUGAAAUUCGUAGAUAUUGGGAAGAACACCGGUGGCGAAGGCGGCGACCUGGUCCUUGACUGACGCUGAGGCGCGAAAGCGUGGGGAGCAAACAGGAUUAGAUACCCUGGUAGUCCACGCUGUAAACGAUGUGUGCUGGAUGUUGGGCGACCUAGUCGCUCAGUGUCGUAGCUAACGCGAUAAGCACACCGCCUGGGGAGUACGGCCGCAAGGUUG